rnacentral:rRNA from 1 species
CUUGGUCAUUUAGAGGAAGUAAAAGUCGUAACAAGGUCUCCGUAGGUGAACCUGCGGAGGGAUCAUUACAGAGUUCAUGCCCUCCGGGUAGAUCUCCCACCCACUGCUAUCACUACUCUCGUUGCUUUGGCGGGCCGCUGGGCCCUGCCCGGCCGCCGGCCCCGGCUGGCGCGUGCCCGCCAGAGACCUCACAGACUCUGAAUGUUAGUGUCGUCCGAGUAACUAUACAAUCGUUAAAACUUUCAACAACGGAUCUCUUGGUUCUGGCAUCGAUGAAGAACGCAGCGAAAUGCGAUAAGUAAUGCGAAUUGCAGAAUUCAGUGAGUCAUCGAAUCUUUGAACGCACAUUGCGCCCUGUGGUAUUCCGCAGGGCAUGCCUGUUCGAGCGUCAUUUCAACCCUCAAGCCUCGCUUGGUGUUGGGCCCUGCCCGCCGCGGCCGGCCCUAAAGAUAGUGGCGGCGCCGCCUGGCCCUCAGCGUAGUACAGCUCUCGCUCCAGGGUCCGGCGGCAGCCUGCCAGAACCCCCCAACUCUGUGGUUGACCUCGGAUCAGGUAGGGAUACCCGCUGAACUUAAGCAUAUCAAUAAGCGGAGGA